rnacentral:rRNA from 1 species
AUUGAACGCUGGCGGCAGGCCUAACACAUGCAAGUCGAACGAGUGGCGGACGGGUGAGUAAUGUCUGGGAAACUGCCUGAUGGAGGGGGAUAACUACUGGAAACGGUAGCUAAUACCGCAUACCAUCGGAUGUGCCCAGAUGGGAUUAGCUAGUAGGUGGGGUAAAGGCUCACCUAGGCGACGAUCCCUAGCUGGUCUGAGAGGAUGACCAGCCACACGGGAAAGGAGAACCGGUCCAGACUCCAACGGGAGGCAGCAGUGGGGAAUAUUGCAAAAUGGGGGCAGGCCUGAUACAGCCAUGCCGCGUGUAUGAAGAAGGCCUUCGGGUUGUAAAGUACUUUAAGCGGGGAGGCGUUACCCGCAGAAGAAGCACCGGCUAACUCCGUGCCAGCCGCCGCGGUAAUAC